rnacentral:rRNA from 1 species
UACGUAGGGGGCUAGCGUUGUCCGGAAUCAUUGGGCGUAAAGCGCGUGUAGGCGGUCCGGUAAGUCCGCUGUGAAAGUCGGGGGCUCAACCCUCGGAUGCCGGUGGAUACUGUCGGGCUUGAGUACGGAAGAGGCGAGUGGAAUUCCUGGUGUAGCGGUGAAAUGCGCAGAUAUCAGGAGGAACACCAAUUGCGAAGGCAGCUCGCUGGGACGUUACUGACGCUGAGGAGCGAAAGUGUGGGGAGCGAACAGG